rnacentral:rRNA from 1 species
UUAGGAACGCCAAGUGAGUGAUACCAUGCUUCCAGGAAAAGCCACUAAGCUUCAGUUGAAUGAAGACCGUACCGUAAACCGACACAGGUGGGUAGGAUGAGAAUUCUAAGGCGCUUGAGAGAACUCAGGAGAAGGAACUCGGCAAAAUAGCACCGCAACUUCGGGAAAAGGUGUGCCCUUUGUAUGUGUAGCGCCUCGCGCGUGAAGCAGAAUAGGGUUGCAAUGAAAUGGUGGCUGCGACUGUUUAAUAAAAACAUAGCACUCUGCAAACACGAAAGUGGACGUAUAGAGUGUGACGCCUGCCCGGUGCCGGAAGGUUAAAUGAUGGGGUGCAAGCUCUUGAUUGAAGCCCCGGUAAACGGCGGCCGUAACAAUAACGGUCCUAAGGUAGCGAAAUUCCUUGUCGGGUCAGUUCCGACCUGCACGAAUGGCGUAACGAUGGCCACACUGUCUCCUCCUGGGACUCAGCGAAGUUGAAAUGUUUGUGAAGAUGCAAUCUCCCCGCGGCUAGACGGAAAGACCCCGUGCACCUUUACUGUAGCUUUACAUUGGACUUUGAUAACAUUUGUGUAGGAUAGGUGGGAGGCUUUGAAGUGGGUUCGCCAGAAUUCAUGGAGCCAACGUUGAAAUACCACCCUGAUGUUGUUGAGGUUCUAACCUAGAUCCAUUAUCUGGAUUGGGGACCGUGUAUGGUAGGCAGUUUGACUGGGGCGGUCUCCUCCCAAAUUGUAACGGAGGAGUACGAAGGUACGCUAAGUACGGUCGGAAAUCGUACUGAUAGUGCAAUGGCAAAAGCGUGCUUAACUGCGAGACUGACAAGUCGAGCAGAUGCGAAAGCAGGUCAUAGUGAUCCGGUGGUUCUGUAUGGAAGGGCCAUCGCUCAACGGAUAAAAGGUACGCCGGGGAUAACAGGCUGAUUCCUCCCAAGAGUUCAUAUCGACGGGGGAGUUUGGCACCUCGAUGUCGGCUCAUCACAUCCUGGGGCUGUAGCCGGUCCCAAGGGUAUGGCUGUUCGCCAUUUAAAGUGGUACGUGAGCUGGGUUUAAAACGUCGUGAGACAGUUUGGUCCCUAUCUGCCGUGGGCGUUGGGAGUUUGAGUGGACCUGCUCCUAGUACGAGAGGACCGGAGUGGACGCACCUCUGGUGUACCGGUUAUGACGCCAGUCGUAUCGCCGGGUAGCUAUGUGCGGAAGAGAUAACCGCUGAAAGCAUCUAAGCGGGAAACUCUCCUCAAGAUGAGACUUCCCGAGGGUUUAACCCUCCUAAAGGUUCGUCGAAGACUACGACGUUGAUAGGUCGGGUGUGGAAGCAUAGUGAUAUGUUAAGCUAACCGAUACUAAUUGACCGUGAGGCUUGAUCCG